ACAGCAGCCGCCGCGGGAAUACGGAGGGAGCUAGCAUUGUUCGGAAUUACUGGGCGUAAAGCGCGCGUAGGCGGUUACUCAAGUCAGAGGUGAAAGCCCGGGGCUCAACCCCGGAACUGCCUUUGAAACUAGGUGACUGGAAUCUUGGAGAGGUCAGUGGAAUUCCGAGUGUAGAGGUGAAAUUCGUAGAUAUUCGGAAGAACACCAGUGGCGAAGGCGACUGACUGGACAAGUAUUGACGCUGAGGUGCGAAAGCGUGGGGAGCAAACAGGAUUAGAUACCCGUGUAGUCCCUGUCUCUUAUAC
rnacentral:rRNA from 1 species